CAUGAGAGACAUAAGAGUACACGGUGGAUGCCUUGGCCUAGGACGGCUAAGAAGGACGCGACUAACCUGCGAAAAGCUUCGGGGAGGCGGUUUGUAGCCUUUGAUCCGGAGAUAUCCGAAUGGGGAAACCCUCCAAUUUUAAAUUGGAAUCCGCGGGGUAACGCCUGCGUGAAGCGAACCCGGGGAAGUGAAACAUCUCAGUACCCGGAGGAAAAGAGAACAAUAUGAGUUGCGUUCCGUCGGCGCGUAUGUUCGUGCUGAUGGAACGCAACUCGCGUGAUACCCUGAAUAGCGGCGAGCGAAAAGGGAAAAGCCCAAACCUCAUUUUUCGAAAUGGGGGGUUGUAAGAUAUGAACGGCGUACUUGUACGCGAAGAGUUAUCAAUCGUCUUUAUAGCAGAAGCUGCUGGGNNNNNNNNAGGUGAAAAGAACCCCGAGAGGGGAGUGAAAUAGAACUGAAACCGUGUACUUACAAGGGGUCGGAGCGGUGAGUUUAUUCGAACCGUGACGGCAUGCCUAUUGAAGAAUGAGCCGGCGAGUGUGUGUAUCUUGCGCAGCUAAGCCCUUACGGGGCGGAGCUUUAGGGAAACCGAGUGUGAAUAGCGCGUCUGUAGGAUACAUACGACCCGAAGCCAGAUGAGCUUGCCAUGAGCAGGGUGAAGUUUGUCGAAAGACAAAUGGAGGCCCGAACCCGUAGGUCGUACAACGCCUUGGGAUGACUUGUGGUAAGGAGUGAAAAGCUAAUCGAAUCUGGGAAUAGCUGGUUCUCUCCGAAACAGCUUUUGGGCUGGCGUUGCCAUAUCGCGUGCGUGGGGGUAGAGCACUGGAAGGGACCAACAGGGAGAAAUCUCGUGGUUCCUAUCAAACUCCGAAUACCAUGCACUCGGGCAGCAGUUAGAAGGUGGGGGCGAAGCUCCAUCGAUCGAGAGGGGAAGAGCCCAGAUCGCCAAUUAAGGCCCCAAAAUCGACGCUCAGUACAUCACAAGGAAGUGAGGACUCAUAGACAGUGAGGAUGUUGGCUUAGAAGCAGCCACCAUUCAAAGAAAGCGUAACAGCUCACUCAUCGAGAGUCCUUGCGCCGAAGAUGAUCGGGGUUAAGCGUCGUGCCGAAAUUGCGGGUUUAAUCCGUAUUUAUAUAGAUUAAGCGGUAGGAGAGCGUUCUGUUCGCGAUGAAGCUUAAGGGGUAACCCAUGGUGGAGCGUACAGAAGUGAGAAUGCCGGUACAAGUAACCACAAUGCGGGUGAGAACCCCGCACAUCGAAAGACCAAGGUUUCCUCAGCUAUGGUGAUCAACUGAGGGUUAGUCGGGCCUAAGGGGAUGGCGAGA
rfam:Candidatus Kaiserbacteria bacterium RIFOXYD1_FTLL_47_14 rifoxyd1_full_scaffold_6810, whole genome shotgun sequence.